GAUGAACGCUAGCUACAGGCUUAACACAUGCAAGUCGAGGGGAAACGACAUCGAAAGCUUGCUUUUGAUGGGCGUCGACCGGCGCACGGGUGAGUAACGCGUAUCCAACCUGCCCAUCACUUGGGAAUAACCUUGCGAAAGUAAGACUAAUACCCACUGACAUCCCACGAAGACAUCUGAAUGGGAUUAAAGAUUUAUCGGUGAUGGAUGGGGAUGCGUCUGAUUAGCUUGUUGGCGGGGUAACGGCCCACCAAGGCAACGAUCAGUAGGGGUUCUGAGAGGAAGGUACCCCACAUUGGAACUGAGACACGGUCCAAACUCCUACGGGAGGCAGCAGUGAGGAAUAUUGGUCAAUGGGCGAGAGCCUGAACCAGCCAAGUAGCGUGCAGGAGGACGGCCCUAUGGGUGGUAAACUGCUUUUAUAAGGGAAUAAAGUGGGUCUCGUGAGACUUUUUGCAUGUACCUUAUGAAUAAGGACCGGCUAAUUCCGUG
rnacentral:rRNA from 1 species